GACGUAGGAGGCGAGCGUUUGUCCGGAUUCAUUGGGCGUAAAGAGCACGCAGGCGGUUUGGCAAGUCGGACGUGAAAAUCCGGGGCUCAACCCCGGACCUGCAUCCGAUACUGGAUGGCUUGAAUCCGGGAGAGGGAUGCGGAAUUCCAGGUGUAGCGGUGAAAUGCGUAGAUAUCUGGAGGAACACCGGUGGCGAAGGCGGCAUCCUGGACCGGCAUUGACGCUGAGGAGCGAAAGCCAGGGGAGCAAACGGG
rnacentral:rRNA from 1 species